rnacentral:lncRNA from 1 species
GAAGAGUUUAGAAAGCAUAGGGACCAUUUUGCCCCGUUUUCAUGAAGUCAAACCCACCGAUGAUACCGAAACCCUUCGUAAGCUCCGACGAAGGUGUCGACUAGUCGCCUAGCACCCUAAAGAUGUAGGAAUAAGGGUCAAACAAAUCUUACGAUCAACCCUAAGCUCAAUCAGUAAGCAACAUAGGCUAAGGUGGAGAAAAACUCACCUAGGUGAAGAAAUCCUCUCUCAAGCUCCAAAU